UACGGGGGGGAGCAAGCGUUGUUCGGAUUUACUGGGCGUAAAGGGCGCGUAGGCGGCGCAACAAGUCACUUGUGAAAUCUCCGGGCUUAACCCGGAGCGGCCAAGUGAUACUGUCGUGCUAGAGUGCGGAAGGGGCAACUGGAAUUCUCGGUGUAGCGGUGAAAUGCGUAGAUAUCGAGAGGAACACCUGCGGCGAAGGCGGGUUGCUGGGCUGACACUGACGCUGAGGCGCGAAAGCUAGGGGAGCGAACGGG
rnacentral:rRNA from 1 species